ACCGGACGAUUUAAACGCCGUCGUUUUAAAUCCGCUGUGUCUCAAGAGUCUGGGCCCCAAUUACAGGAACGAUCGCGCAGGAAUGCGUAAUUCACAAAUCAAAUCUCCAUCAAAUUCAAAGGUCCGGUAGGGUACCUAGGAUUUGGCGGAAAAAUUGAAAGGAAGAAGCAGGAUUCACGAAGGAACUGUUGGUUUCAAAAUCGUUUCAAGUUAGCAUAAAAUCUACUUAGAUGUUUCAUCUUGAACAGAAGUCGGUGAUGUGCUAAAGUUCCUAAAGGUUUUGUGAGCAGAUCGGCAAGCUGUUCCCUCGAGGUUACAUGUUUCGUUUCGGUGAAAUCCUUUUGAACCUGGUUGCGAACUAUGUGGCAGUCGAUGUCAAGGUGUUUUGUUCGUUCAUGAAAAACCGGAUUUGCUGCGAUAUGCUCGGCGACUUUGUUGUCACAAUUCAAUAUUACGGGAGAUUAGUGCAGGUCCGAGGAAGAUACAGAAGCCCGUGAGUGAUUUGCGGGUCAUCGGACACGAUGCCCAGUCUGAAUCACAAAAAGCUUGAACUUUAAAAUCAUUCUUUCUCGGGAAGAAGAUGCCUUGCUCCAGAUAUUGCUUUAGGUACCUAACAACGUGUAGUGCGGCGUCGAGGUGCGGCCGUCUGAGUUGUUGCAUGAACUGACUGAGGUGUUGGGUGGAGUAUGUUAUGUCGGGUCUGGUGAAGUUGAGGUAAAGUGAGCGGCCGAUUAAGCGUUUUUAUCGUUCCGGAUCUGCUAUCUCGACUCCGAGAAAUAUCUCGCUUAGCCGAGUCGUUGACUGUGAAAGCUUCAUUCAUAGCGCUUUUGACUUCGUAAAUCUCUUCAUCAUUAGGACCCGUGAUAAGUAAGUCAUCUACAUAUACCACACAAUGUAGUUUCCUUUUGUGAAUAGAUAGUGGUCGACUUCUAACUUGGUAAAGCCGAUGGAUUGGAGCUUUGAAGUGAGCUCUUUCCUCCACUGGCGACCUGCUUAUUUUAGGUCGUACAGGCUCUUGGUUAGACAGCAGACUUGCCUUUCACUAGCCUUGAAGUAGCCCUCUGGAGGUUUUAAGUAUAGCUCCUCUUCCACAAACCCCAUGUAGAUAUGUGUUAUUAAUGUCUAACUGGUAUACUGGCCAGUCACUUGCGGCUGCUACUGCUAAAAGUAGUCGAACCAUGACCAUUUUAGCCACUGGUGAGAAGCUAAUGUGAGAGUCUAUGCCAAACUCCUGGUUGUAACCUUUAGCUACGAGUCUUGGUUUGUAUUUAUCAACUGAUCCAUUGACAUUAUAUUUUAUUUUAUGCCCCCAUUUUGAGUCGAUUGCCUUCUUCCCUUUUGGUAGUGCAGUUAGUUCCCAUAUUCUAUUUUCUUCCAGUGCGGACAGCUCGGCUUGCAUGGCCUCAACCCACUUGCUAUCCCGUUUUUAGCAUCCCUGUAUGACAUUGGUUCUUUUGUAAUAGACACUUGUGCAAUGAAAUUAACAGGGGUUGUUCUGUAGUAUGGGCGACAAAGUCUUCAUUCCAAGCGGGCCUAUUUCUCACCCUGAUGCUCCUCCUUACUUCAGACUCUUGGGGAAUGAUGGUUGGUAAGGGAGUUUCUUCUCUUCUUUGUUAUUGGUUUUCAGGUGUGGUUAUUAGUCGUCGCUUGGUAUUGACAGUGGUGUGUCAUGGUAGUCUGUUUUAGGGUGUUCUGUUUGGUAUGAGAAAAUAUGUUCAUGAAAUAUGACAUCUCUUAACAAAACCGUUUUUUCUAUUUGUUAUAUCAUAUAAUUUGUAUGCCUUCGCAUUGGGUGCAUACCCUAAGAAAACACAUUUCAAAGCCCUGGGUUCAAAGUUGUCUUUUUGAGGGGUAACAUUUGUAGUAAAACAUAGACAAACAAAGACUUUUAGGUUUGAAUAAUCCGGCUGUUUUUUGUACAGAAUUUCAUAAAGAGUUUUUCAUUUUAAAACAUAGCUUAGCAAAACGUUUAUUAUGUGUGUGGCUGUGAGUAUAACUUUAUCUCAAAAACCUUUUGGUAGUUUUGAUUCAAACAUCAAUGCCCUAGUAAUUUGUAAUAGGUGUUUAUGUUUCCUCUCCACCACCCCAUUUUGCUGUAGUGUGUAUGUACAAGUUUUUUUAUGCAUAAUUCCCUUUUUUUGAAAAAAGAUUUUGCAUGAAGUGUUUAUGAACUCAGUGCCGUUGUCUAUUCUAACUGUUUUGAUUGUUUUCUGAAAUUAAUUUUGUAUUAGAUUGUAAAAAUAUUUCAAGGUAUUUGGUACACUUGUUUUUUCUUUUAAUCAAUAAGUUUAAGUGACUCUUGAGAAAUCAUCGACUAUGGUUAAAAAAUAAAGUGCACCAAAGAUAUAAUUGAUCGGGUAUGGUCUCCAAAGGCACGUAUUAAACUAAAAAUGUCACUGGUAUUGAUGAAACUUUUAGAAAAAGACAAGUGCUGCUGUUUGCCAAUGGACAUAUUUCACAAUCAUGUAGAGCUGUACUGCCUGGUAACUUUAGACUGGAAAUGUGGAUCAAUUUUUUUGUGGAUGUGUGGCCGAGUCUUUUGUGCCAUAGUUGUAGGUUGUUUUCUUGAGUGUGGCUGAUGCAUGCUUUGUUAGAGUCAAUGUCUUCACUCAGGAUGUACAAGCCCUUUAUUAUUGUUCCAUUCCGCAAUAUUUUGUUAGUUGUCAAAUCCUGCACAAAACAAUAGCUGGGAUAAAAGGAAAUGUAGGUAUUUGAACUUUGGGUUAGUUUUCUGACAAAAUAAGGUUACAAGUGAAUUUUGGUAUAUAGAGGACAUCCUGUAGAAUUAAGUUGUCACACAGUUUUAUGGUUCAUUUGUGGGUUGAAUAACUCGUGGUUCCGUCUCAUAGCGAGACAGACACUGCAGAUUUUAGUUUUACGGGUUCUAAAAGUAUUUUGAAAUCAUGGCAUAUGUGUGAUGUGACACCUGUGUCUAUUAUUUAAGUUCCUAUGUCAUUAAAGGCAUGUAAAAAACAGCAUUUAAGUUGCUUACUAGGGAGGCCAAAGUAGCCCACGCACCCUGCCGAUUCUGCCGUGUUUGCUCCUUGGUUUUUCAUGUACUUGCUGAUUUCUUGUUGUAAGAGUGUGGUCAUUUAUGUGCCUUAGUUUGUGUUGAAUGCUUCUGUUUUGGUGUUAUCAGGGGGCAUUGUUUGCCACUGCAUUAGCUUUUUCUUUGUUCCUUUUCCCUUUGAAUUCUGUAAACCAUUCUGGGUAGCUAUGGAACUUGAAGCAUGUGUCCUUCGUGUGCCCUAUGUUUUUGCAAUAAGUGCAUGUCCUGCUGUCCUUUUCCUUUUUUCGGUUUGGGAAUUUUGGAUUGUCUUUCAGGUUGGUAUAAAAUGCAACGGGUGUCCUUUCAGGUGAGUUACUAUUGUGUACUUCUCUCUGUUUUCCAACACUAAUCACCAUAAAAUAAGCUCUAUUCACUUCGGGUAAGAGCUUCAUGAUCAAUAUUUGGUUUUUAACUUGGUCGUAUUAGUCAUUAAGACCCAUUAGAAAUUGGAUUAAGUUGUCGGUAUUGUCUAUUUCAUUGUGUUGUGUUGUAGCAUGGCAGGUGCAAGUAGGUAAGGGCCUUAGGUGUGUUAACUCAUCCCAUAGCCUUUUGAGUUUUGUAUAAUAGGCUGUGACAGAAAGGUUAGAUUGCGUGAUGGAACUUAUUUCGCGUUUUAGUUGAUACAACAGAGGUCCAUUGCUUUCACUAUACCUUUUUUUUAUUUCAUCCCACAGGUUUUUUGCUGAUGUAGUGAACAGGAAGACGCUAGUGAGCUCUUUGUUCAUCGAGUUCAGAAUCCAAGACAUCACCAUGCUAUCUGUUUUGUGCCAUUGUUUAUAUUCUGCUGCAUCGGGUUCGGCCUUUUUGCAUAUGUCAUCGACGAGGGUGAGCUUGUCCUUGGCUCUCAAUGUGAUCACCAUGGUUCGGCUCCAAGACAAGUAGUUGGAUCCAUCAAGUGUGGUUGUGACAAAUUGCAUUCUAAGCUGGUCUGAGUUUAGGAGUGUCAACACAUCUGUAUUAGGGUUUGCCAUUGAACUGUAAGGUAAUAUUGUAAUGUAGAAAUCGGAAUAAUUAGUGCUUAUUACAGGCACUGCUCUGAUACCAUCUAAAAAUUUAACCGGGUAAGGUAGAGGGCAUUUAAUGCUCCUUAAUUUUCUGUUUUAUAUUUAUUGAAUGGAACCUUAGGAAUAUAUAUACAUACAGGGAAAAAUGAAAAGAGGAUGAGGGUGGUCUCUAGAAUUGUCAGAGUCCACUAGCUGUCCUCAACCUUUAAACAGAAAAGGAAAAUGUAGACAUUUUAUUUUAGGGUUUUGAUCUAGGCAGUCUACCUGUCCAUUUCUAUCAGUCUUUUCAUUUUUACCCUUUAUUCUUUUCACUAUGAAA